AUUGAACGCUGGCGGCAUGCCUUACACAUGCAAGUCGAACGGCAGCACGGGAGCAAUCCUGGUGGCGAGUGGCGAACGGGUGAGUAAUAUAUCGGAACGUGCCCAGUCGUGGGGAUAACGUAGCGAAAGCUACGCUAAUACCGCAUACGAUCUAUGGAUGAAAGCGGGGGAUCGCAAGACCUCGCGCGAUUGGAGCGGCCGAUAUCAGAUUAGGUAGUUGGUGAGGUAAAGGCUCACCAAGCCGACGAUCUGUAGCUGGUCUGAGAGGACGACCAGCCACACUGGGACUGAGACACGGCCCAGACUCCUACGGAGGCAGCAGUGGGGAAUUUUGGGACAAUGGGCGCAAGCCUGAUCCAGCAAUGCCGCGUGCAGGAUGAAGGCCUU
rnacentral:rRNA from 1 species